rnacentral:rRNA from 1 species
AACGAACGCUGGCGGCAGGCUUAACACAUGCAAGUCGAACGGGUGUAGCAAUACAUCAGUGGCAGACGGGUGAGUAACACGUGGGAACCUUCCUAGGGGUACGGAACAACCCAGGGAAACUUGAGCUAAUACCGUAUACGUCCGUGAGGAGAAAGAUUUAUCGCCCUUAGACGGGCCCGCGUCGGAUUAGCUAGUUGGUGGGGUAACGGCCUACCAAGGCGACGAUCCGUAGCUGAUCUUAGAGGAUGAUCAGCCACACUGGGACUGAGACACGGCCCAGACUCCUACGGGAGGCAGCAGUGGGGAAUCUUGGACAAUGGGCGCAAGCCUGAUCCAGCCAUGCCGCGUGAGUGAAGAAGGUCUUCGGAUUGUAAAGCUCUUUUGCCAGGGACGAUAAUGACGGUACCUGGAGAAUAAGCCCCGGCAAACUUCGUGCCAGCAGCCGCCGUAA